rnacentral:rRNA from 1 species
GACGAAGGAUGCAAGCGUUUAUCCGGAUUCAUUGGGUUUAAAGGGUGCGUAGGCGGCCCGGUAAGUCAGUGGUGAAAGCCUGUUGCUUAACAACAGAACUGCCAUUGAUACUGCUGGGCUUGAGUACAGAUGCUGUGGGCGGAAUAUGACAUGUAGUGGUGAAAUACAUAGAGAUGUCAUAGAACACCGAUUGCGAAGGCAGCUCACAAAACUGUAACUGACGCUGAGGCACGAAAGUGCGGGGAUCAAACAGG